UACGUAGGGCGCGAGCGUUGUCCGGAAUCAUUGGGCGUAAAGAGCUCGUAGGCGGCCGGUUGCGUCUGCUGUGAAAUCCCGGGGCUUAACCCCGGGCGUGCAGUGGAUACGGGCUGGCUGGAGGCAGGCAGGGGAGAAUGGAAUUCCCGGUGUAGCGGUGAAAUGCGCAGAUAUCAAGUGGAACACCAGUGGCGAAGGCGAGUCUCUGGACAUUUCCUGACGCUGAGGCACGAAAGCCAGGGGAGCAAACGGG
rnacentral:rRNA from 1 species